UUAUUUUUUACAAAUUAAGAAACAUAUUUUUUAGAUUAAACUGCAUUGCUUUAAAACAGUAUAAUUAUUGUUUAGGUAUACAAGAGCUAAAAUGACUAAUGCAAUUUAAAAGAAUGUACUAUUUUAUGUUCUUACUAUUAUUAUCAACUGUGCCAUCAAUCAAUCAUUCAAUCCAUCAAUGUUUAUUUAUAUAGCCCUAAAUCACAAGGGUCUCAAAGGGCUGCACAAGCCACAACGACAUCCGCGGUACAGAGUCCACCUACGGGCAAGGAAAAACUCACCCCAGUGGGACGACGGUGACUAUGAGAAACCUUGGAGAGGACUGCAUAUGUGGGCAACCCCCCCACUCCUCUAGAGCAGCAUCUCAAAGUAAAAAGUUAAAUGUGCGGCUCUAUGGUUAUCAUCACUCUUCUGUGGUGACAUCACCAAAAAAAACUUUUCUUUUUUUUCCGACACUGGCCCUAAUUCCUGCUGGGUUUGGCGAGGAAAAUAAUCCGGCUUUAAACGCUACAAUAUGUCAAAUCUUUGUUUUGAAAAAAAGUUUGUCAUCCUGCCAGGAAUUUCACCUUGUCUUGUGCUUUGCUCCUUGAGGUCAAAGGUCACACGUGAGGACCGCAGCAGUGUGUUGAUUGACAGCUGACUGGGGGCGGGGAUGCAUCGCCUGCUGUUGACGUCAUAAAAAGAAUGCAGGCGACCAUCUAGUCGGUUUCGGGCCUCCACGCCUGGCGGGGGUGUCGCUCCUUCAAACAGCACCUCCACCUCCACCUCCACCUUCACCUCCACCUUCACCACCGUCUCCCAGCACUCAUUAGCCGAGCGGUUCAAGUUUGAAGGGUACGAGCACACCUCAGUGGCCGACAAGAAAGAAGUGUUUGUAUGCAUACUAGGAGCGCCGCACGCUGGUGGGCUGCUGACUGGAGGCCCCCCCCCCCCAGCAGUGCAGCAUCACUGGGACCAAUUACAGGUACAUUAGCAUGUUUGAAUGGAGGGAUAUGAGGCUGAGGGACGGGCGGGGUUCAAAUAAUAAUAAUAA